GGGUCAUGAACUAUGGAUUUGAAGAAAUAAAUCCUUAAUUUCUAGGUGUAAAUGAACUAAUGCAAUUAUUUUUGAUCAGUGAGUGGAAAACAAGAUGGCGUACAACUGUCCUGAUUUAUCUUGCUAUAGCUUGUACUUGAGAGAUACUAAAAGACAUUAUUGAAGAUUAUAUUAUCAAGAUUUACAUCUUAAGAAAUAACUAAAGACAAGAGACCUGAAUAUGAGGAAUUUCAGAAAACGCCCUCCUAUUAGCCAACUUUGCCUUUACUGAGACUAGUAUUUAUGGAGCACUUCAAGUUGUAAAUGCUUCUUAUAUAAAAAGCCAUGAUGAUGAUUAUCUACACUUUACUGAUGGAGAAAUUGAGGCACAGAAUCUGCCCAAGAAUACUAAAGCUGGGAGCCUCCGUCAUGUCGCUAAACACACUCCAGGCCCAGGAGCUGGAAGGAAGGAAGAGGGUCCUGGGAAAGAUGAAGCAGCUACUUUCCACCAACGAGGACUGGGCAUGGAGCUCACGUGGGCACCUCAGGGAAUAACGUGCCUGGAAGAGCCUUCUGGAAGGAUGUGAGAGUCAUGAGAACGAGACCUGGAAAGCUGAGCUGCCCCGGCCGGAUAGAGCCCAGGAAAAUGAGGACCCAGCCAGUCUGCUCCCAGACAGACAAGAGAGGCCAGUUGAGGCCGGGAGAAUCACACAGCCUUAGUCUCUGAGCUGUACCUGAUUCUAGCUGUAUGAGCAAUAAACGCUUAUUCUUUUUAGCCACUGAGUU